CCUACGGGAGGCAGCAGUAGGGAAUCUUCGGCAAUGGACGGAAGUCUGACCGAGCAACGCCGCGUGAGUGAAGAAGGUUUUCGGAUCGUAAAGCUCUGUUGUAAGAGAAGAACGAGUGUGAGAGUGGAAAGUUCACACUGUGACGGUAUCUUACCAGAAAGGGACGGCUAACUACGUGCCAGCAGCCGCGGUAAUACGUAGGUCCCGAGCGUUGUCCGGAUUUAUUGGGCGUAAAGCGAGCGCAGGCGGUUAGAUGAGUCUGAAGUUAAAGGCUGUGGCUUAACCAUAGUAUGCUUUGGAAACUGUUUAACUUGAGUGCAAGAGGGGAGAGUGGAAUUCCAUGUGUAGCGGUGAAAUGCGUAGAUAUAUGGAGGAACACCGGUGGCGAAAGCGGCUCUCUGGCUUGUAACUGACGCUGAGGCUCGAAAGCGUGGGGAGCAAACAGGAUUAGAUACCCUGGUAGUCCACGCCGUAAACGAUGAGUGCUAGGUGUUAGACCCUUUCCGGGGUUUAGUGCCGUAGCUAACGCAUUAAGCACUCCGCCUGGGGAGUACGACCGCAAGGUUGAAACUCAAAGGAAUUGACGG
rnacentral:rRNA from 1 species